rnacentral:rRNA from 1 species
AUUGAACGCUGGCGGCAUGCCUUACACAUGCAAGUCGAACGGCAGCACGGGAGCAAUCCUGGUGGCGAGUGGCGAACGGGUGAGUAAUAUAUCGGAACGUGCCCAGUCGUGGGGGAUAACGUAGCGAAAGUUACGCUAAUACCGCAUACGAUCUAUGGAUGAAAGCGGGGGAUCGCAAGACCUCGCGCGAUUGGAGCGGCCGAUAUCAGAUUAGGUAGUUGGUGGGGUAAAGGCUCACCAAGCCGACGAUCCAUAGCUGGUUUGAGAGGAUGAUCAGCCACACUGGGACUGAGACACGGUCCAGACUCCUACGGGAGGCAGCAGUGGGGAAUUUUCCGCAAUGGGCGAAAGCCUGACGGAGCAAUACCGCGUGAGGGAAGAAUGCCUAUGGGUUGUAAACCUCUUUUUCAGGGAGGAAUAAAAUGACGUGUACCUGAAGAAUAAGCAUCGGCUAACUCCGUGCCAGCAGCCGCAGU